GACGAACGUUGGCGGCGUGCUUAAUACAUGCAAGUCAACUGAAGCACCGGUAGUAAUACUGGUGUGGAGGUGGCGCACGGGUGAGUAACACGUAGGUAAUCUGCCUUCAGGUCUGACAUAACCCCGAGAAAUCGGGGCUAAUAGCAGAUGAUGCAGCGGCUUGACAUCAAGACAGUUGUUAAAGCUUCGGCGCCUGAAGAUGAGCCUGCGUCUGAUUAGCUAGUUGGCGGAGUAAUAGCCCACCAAGGCGACGAUCAGUAGCUGGUCUGAGAGGAUGAUCAGCCACACUGGAACUGAGACACGGUCCAGACUCCUACGGGAGGCAGCAGUAAGGAAUAUUGCUCAAUGGAGAAUCCGUGAAGCAGCAACGCCG
rnacentral:rRNA from 1 species